GGAAAGAUGAAAAGAACUUUGAAAAGAGAGUUAAACAGUACGUGAAAUUGUUGAAAGGGAAACGAUUGAAGUCAGUCGUGCUGGCGCGAAAUCAACCCUCUCGUCUUGAGAUCACAUGGCGCGGCGAGCCUCAAAACCGUCACGAAGCGUGAACUCUUGACGAAAAGGAGCACUUUCGUGUCCGCUGGCUUAACAUCAAUUUCGAUCGUCAUAAAAAGGCUGGAGGGAUGUGGCUCCUUCGGGAGUGUUAUAACCUUUAGCGGAAUGUGGUGGUCGGGAUUGAGGAUUGCAACGAAUACCUUUAGGGCUGUUCCACCUGGUUUCUCAUUGGUAUCCUGGUGACGACAGCUUGCUGACUUUGUUAGGAUUCGCCUCUGAACAGGCUAGAGUGUGAGCAAAUUCGUUAAGGAUGUUAACGUAAUGGCUUUAAACGACCCGUCUUGAAACACGGACCA
rnacentral:rRNA from 1 species